rnacentral:rRNA from 1 species
CAGGAUGAACGCUGGCGGCGUGCCUAACACAUGCAAGUCGAACGGAGAUCUAUUGAUGGAGGCUUCGGCCAAAGAAGUUGAUCUUAGUGGCGGACGGGUGAGUAACGCGUGGAGAACCUGCCCUGUACAGGGGGAUAACAGGCAGAAAUGCCUGCUAAUACCGCAUAAGCGCACGGGAGCGCAUGCUCCAGUGUGAAAAACUCCGGUGGUACAGGAUGGCUCCGCGUUGGAUUAGCUGGUUGGCGGGGCAACGGCCCACCAAGGCGACGAUCCAUAGCCGGCCUGAGAGGGUGGACGGCCACAUUGGGACUGAGACACGGCCCAGACUCCUACGGGAGGCAGCAGUGGGGAAUAUUGCACAAUGGGGGGAACCCUGAUGCAAGCGACGCCGCGUGAAGGAAGAAGUAUCUCGGUAUGUAAACUUCUAUCAGCAGGGAAGAGAUUGACGGUACCUGCACAAGAAGCCCCGGCUAACUACGUGCCAGCCGCAGC